rnacentral:rRNA from 1 species
AUUGAACGCUGGCGGCAUGCCUAACACAUGCAAGUCGAACGGUAACGCGGGGGCAACCCUGGCGACGAGUGGCGGACGGGUGAGUAAUACGUAGGAAUCUGCCCAUUUGUGGGGGAUAACCCGGCGAAAGCCGGGCUAAUACCGCAUACGCUCUACGGAGGAAAGCGGGGGAUCGUAAGACCUCGCGCUAAUGGAUGAGCCUACGUCGGAUUAGCUAGUUGGUAGGGUAACGGCCUACCAAGGCGACGAUCCGUAGCUGGUCUGAGAGGACGAUCAGCCACACUGGGACUGAGACACGGCCCAGACUCCUACGGGAGGCAGCAGUGGGGAAUAUUGGACAAUGGGGGCAACCCUGAUCCAGCAAUGCCGCGUGUGUGAAGAAGGUCUGCGGGUUGUAAAGCACUUUCAGAGGGGAAGAAAAAUCGGAGCUAACACCUCCGGUCUUGACGUUACCCUUAGAAGAAGCACCGGCUAACUCCGUGCCAGCAGCCGCGGUAAUACGGAGGGUGCAAGCGUU